AUUGAACGCUAGCGGGAUGCUUUACACAUGCAAGUCGAGCGAGCGGCGGACGGGUGAGUAAUGUAUGGGGACUGCCCGAUAGAGGGGGAUAACUACUGGAAACGGUAGCUAAUACAGCAUACUACCGGAUAAUCCAUAUGGGAUUAGCUAGUAGGUGAGGUAAUGGCUCACCUAGGCGACGAUCCCUAGCUGGUCUGAGAGGAUGAUCAGCCACACUGGAACUGAGACACGGCCCAGACUCCUACGGAGGCAGCAGUGGGGAAUAUUGCACAAUGGGCGCAAGCCUGAUACAGCCAUGCCGCGUGUAUGAAGAAGGCCCUAGGGUUGUAAAGUACUUUCAGUCGGGAGGCGUUACCGGCAGAAGAAGCACCGGCUAACUCCGUGCCAGCAGCCGCGGUAAUUC
rnacentral:rRNA from 1 species